GGAAUUUCUGUAGCUCAGUGGUAGAGCAUCUGCUUUGCGUGCAGAAAGUUCAAUCCCCAGCAUCUCCA